UAAUCAUACGAUACAGAAUAAUAAUUCUCAACUCAGUUUCCCCAAAUCCACCCUUUGAAAAGAGCUUUACCGGAAUCACUUACAUGCCUGAUAGCAUCAUCAUCGGUCAUUGAACUUUCAAGAAAACCAAACUUACAGUGUAAAAAGGCGCCCCGUAAUCUUGCUGGAACCCUAGUUGAGUCACAGAGUUCGUUUCUAAAGUCACCGACAUGCCUAUAACCAGAACCUCCAUCAUUGCCUUCUUAAUCGUCAUUACCUUCAAUUGAACGGCGGCCGGAACCCUGGAACUUAGCCCACCCGAUAGCGAUUCUGAUAAAGAGAACAAUGGCGAUACCAUGUUUCAUGGCGGAACCCUAACCGCCGCCGCCGCUAACGACUGAACCUUUUCGCAGCCAUCUCCGUCAUCAUCGCCGCUUUGUAACCAAAAUCGCUAUCAUCGUCGUCUUCCUUAUCUCACUUCUUUCUCCUUCUGUCUCUGUGCAAUCAGAAGUGAGGAUGAUGCGUGUUGUUGGUGAAACACCAAAAGAGAAUGUUUAAAUGAUAUCUUUUAGAAGAAUGAUAGAAAUACCUAUGGUAAUGGGUGUGACAUGAUACCACUUUAUUAUUUCUUUGUUAUUAUGAUUCCCCAUAGUCUACCUUUGUGCAUGUCAAGCUCACGUGUCUUCUAUUUUCUUUUUUAAUAAUUAUAUUUUGUA
rnacentral:lncRNA from 1 species